rnacentral:rRNA from 1 species
AUUGAACGCUGGCGGCAUGCUUUACACAUGCAAGUCGAACGGUAACAGGCCUUCGGGUGCUGACGAGUGGCGAACGGGUGAGUAAUGCAUCGGAACGUACCCAGAGGUGGGGGAUAACGCAGCGAAAGCUGUGCUAAUACCGCAUGUGAUCUGAGGAUGAAAGCGGGGGACCGAGCAGCAAUGUUUGGCCUCGCGCCUUUGGAGCGGCCGAUGUCGGAUUAGCUAGUUGGUGGGGUAAAGGCCUACCAAGGCGACGAUCCGUAGCUGGUCUGAGAGGACGACAAGCCACACUGGGACUGUGACACGGUCCAUACUACUUCGGGUGGCAGUGGUAGGGAUUUUUUGAAUAUGGGGACAAGUCUGAUGCAGCAAUGCCGCGUGCGUGAUAAUGGCCUUCGGGUUUUAAACAGCUUUUGGCAGGGACGAAACGGUGUCCGCUAAUACCGGGCGCUAAUGACGGUACCUGCAGAAUAAGCACCGGCUAACUACGUG